UACGUAGGGUGCGAGCGUUAAUCGGAAUCACUGGGCGUAAAGGGUGCGUAGGCGGGUCUUUAAGUCAGGGGUGAAAGCCCAGAGCUCAACUCUGGAAUUGCCUUUGAGACUGAGUGGCUUGAGUACGAGAGAGGUGAGUGGAAUUCCCAGUGUAGAGGUGAAAUUCGUAGAUAUUGGGAAGAACACCGGUGGCGAAGGCGGCUCACUGGCUCGUAACUGACGCUCAUGCACGACAGCGUGGGGAUCAAACAGG
rnacentral:rRNA from 1 species